rnacentral:rRNA from 1 species
AGCGAACGCUGGCGGCAGGCCUAACACAUGCAAGUCGAACGAACUCUUCGGAGUUAGUGGCGGACGGGUGAGUAUCACGUGGGAACGUGCCUUUUGGUUCGGAAUAACUCAGGGAAACUUGUGCUAAUACCGAAUGUGCCCUUCGGGGGAAAGAUUUAUCGCCAUUAGAGCGGCCCGCGUCUGAUUAGCUAGUUGGUGAGGUAACGGCUCACCAAGGCGACGAUCAGUAGCUGGUCUGAGAGGAUGACCAGCCACACUGGGACUGAGACACGGCCCAGACCCCUACGGGAGGCAGCAGUGGGGAAUCUUGCGCAAUGGGCGAAAGCCUGACGCAGCCAUGCCGCGUGAAUGAUGAAGGUCUUAGGAUUGUAAAAUUCUUUCACCGGGGACGAUAAUGACGGUACCCGGAGAAGAAGCCCCGGCUAACUUCGUG